CCAAGUUUUUAAGGGCGCACGGUGGAUGCCUUGGCACCAGGAACCGAUGAAGGACGUGGGAGGCCACGAUAGUCCCCGGGGAGUCGUCAACCAGGCUUUGAUCCGGGGGUUUCCGAAUGGGGAAACCCGGCAGUCGUCAUGGGCUGUCACCCGCUGCUGAACACAUAGGCAGUGUGGAGGGAACGCGGGGAAGUGAAACAUCUCAGUACCCGCAGGAAGAGAAAACAACCGUGAUUCCGGGAGUAGUGGCGAGCGAAACCGGAUGAGGCCAAACCGUAUGCGUGUGAGACCCGGCAGGGGUUGCGCAUACGGGGUUGUGGGAUCUCUCUUUUACGGUCUGCCGGCCGUGAGACGAGUCAGAAACCGUUGAUGUAGGCGAAGGACAUGCGAAAGGUCCGGCGUAGAGGGUAAGACCCCCGUAGUCGAAACAUCAGCGGCUCGUUUGAGAGAYACCCAAGUAGCACGGGGCCCGAGAAAUCCCGUGUGAAUCUGGCGGGACCACCCGCUAAGCCUAAAUAUUCCCUGGUGACCGAUAGCGGAUAGUACCGUGAGGGAAUGGUGAAAAGUACCGCGGGAGCGGAGUGAAAUAGUACCUGAAACCGUGUGCCUACAAGCCGUGGGAGCGUCGGACAUCAAGCUUGCUUGGUGUCUCGUGACUGCGUGCCUUUUGAAGAAUGAGCCUGCGAGUUUGCGGUGUGUUGCGAGGUUAACCCGAGUGGGGAAGCCGUAGCGAAAGCGAGUCCGAAUAGGGCGUUUCAGUAGCACGCUCAAGACCCGAAGCGGAGUGAUCUAGCCAUGGGCAGGUUGAAGCGGAGGUAAGACUUCGUGGAGGACCGAACCCACCAGGGUUGAAAACCUGGGGGAUGACCUGUGGUUAGGGGUGAAAGGCCAAUCAAACUCCGUGAUAGCUGGUUCUCCCCGAAAUGCAUUUAGGUGCAGCGUCGUGUGUUUCUUGCCGGAGGUAGAGCACUGGAUAGGCGAUGGGCCCUACCGGGUUACUGACCUUAGCCAAACUCCGAAUGCCGGUAAGUGAGAGCGCGGCAGUGAGACUGUGGGGGAUAAGCUCCAUGGUCGAGAGGGAAACAGCCCAGAGCAUCGACUAGAUGGGUAGGGGAGCGUCGUGUGCCGGGUGAAGCAGCACCGGAAGGUAGUUGUGGACGGUUCACGAGUGAGAAUGCAGGCAUGAGUAGCGAUACACACGUGAGAAACGUGUGCGCCGAUUGACUAAGGGUUCCUGGGUCAAGCUGAUCUGCCCAGGGUAAGUCGGGACCUAAGGCGAGGCCGACAGGCGUAGUCGAUGGAUAACCGGUUGAUAUUCCGGUACCCGCUGUGAAGCGUCAAACACUGAACCAGGCGAUGCUAAGUCCGUGAAGCCGUCCCGGAGCCUUCGGGCAAUGGGGAGUGGUGGAGCCGACGGACCAGACUUGCAGUAGGUGAGUGAUGGGGUGACGCAGGAAGGUAGUCCAUCCCGGGCGGUGGUUGUCCCGGGGUAAGGGUGUAGGACGGUGUGUAGGCAAAUCCGCACACCACAUAGKCUGAGACCUGAUGCCGAGCCGAUUGUGGCGAAGUGGAUGAUCCUAUGCUGUCGAGAAAAGCCUCUAGCGAGUUUCAUGGCGGCCCGUACCCUAAACCGACUCAGGUGGUCAGGUAGAGAAUACCGAGGCGUUCGGGUGAACUAUGGUUAAGGAACUCGGCAAAAUGCCCCCGUAACUUCGGGAGAAGGGGGGCCAUCACUGGUGAGAGGACUUGCUCCUCGAGCUGGGGGUGGCCGCAGAGACCAGCGAGAAGCGACUGUUUACUAAAAACACAGGUCCGUGCGAAGCCGUAAGGCGAUGUAUACGGACUGACGCCUGCCCGGUGCUGGAACGUUAAGGGGACCGGUUAGUCACAUUUCGGUGUGGCGAAGCUGAGAACUUAAGCGCCAGUAAACGGCGGUGGUAACUAUAACCAUCCUAAGGUAGCGAAAUUCCUUGUCGGGUAAGUUCCGACCUGCACGAAUGGCGUAACGACUUCUCGACUGUCUCAACCAUAGGCCCGGUGAAAUUGCACUACGAGUAAAGAUGCUCGUUUCGCGCAGCAGGACGGAAAGACCCCGGGACCUUUACUACAGUUUGAUAUUGGUGUUCGGUUCGGCUUGUGUAGGAUAGGUGGGAGACUUUGAAGCGGCCACGCCAGUGGUUGUGGAGUCGUYGUUGAAAUACCACUCUGGUCGUGCUGGAUGUCUAACCUGGGUCCGUGAUCCGGAUCAGGGACAGUGUCUGAUGGGUAGUUUAACUGGGGCGGUUGCCUCCUAAAGAGUAACGGAGGCGCCCAAAGGUUCCCUCAGCCUGGUUGGCAAUCAGGUGUUGAGUGUAAGUGCACAAGGGAGCUUGACUGUGAGACCGACGGGUCGAGCAGGGACGAAAGUCGGGACUAGUGAUCCGGCGGUGGCUUGUGGAAGCGCCGUCGCUCAACGGAUAAAAGGUACCCCGGGGAUAACAGGCUGAUCUUCCCCAAGAGUCCAUAUCGACGGGAUGGUUUGGCACCUCGAUGUCGGCUCGUCGCAUCCUGGGGCUGGAGUCGGUCCCAAGGGUUGGGCUGUUCGCCCAUUAAAGCGGUACGCGAGCUGGGUUUAGAACGUCGUGAGACAGUUCGGUCCCUAUCCGCUGCGCGCGCAGGAAUAUUGAGAAGGGCUGUCCCUAGUACGAGAGGACCGGGACGGACGAACCUCUGGUGUGCCAGUUGUUCUGCCAAGGGCAUGGCUGGUUGGCUACGUUCGGGAGGGAUAACCGCUGAAAGCAUCUAAGCGGGAAGCCUGCUUCGAGAUGAGUAUUCCCACCCCCUUGAGGGGUUAAGGCUCCCAGUAGACGACUGGGUUGAUAGGCCGGAUGUGGAAGCCCAGUAAUGGGUGAAGCUGACUGGUACUAAUAGGCCGAGGGCUUGUCCUC
rnacentral:rRNA from 1 species